rnacentral:rRNA from 1 species
ACCCGCACAAGCGGUGGAUGAUGUGGUUUAAUUCGAUGCAACGCGAAAAACCUUACCCACCUUUGACAUGUACGGAACCCUUUAGAGAUAGAGGGGUGCUCGAAAGAGAGCCGUAACACAGGUGCUGCAUGGCUGUCGUCAGCUCGUGUCGUGAGAUGUUGGGUUAAGUCCCGCAACGAGCGCAACCCUUGUCAUUAGUUGCUACAUUCAGUUGGGCACUCUAAUGAGACUGCCGGUGACAAGCCGGAGGAAGGUGGGGAUGACGUCAAGUCCUCAUGGCCCUUAUAGGUGGGGCUACACACGUCAUACAAUGGCUGGUACAAAGGGUUGCCAACCCGCGAGGGGGAGCCAAUCCCAUAAAGCCAGUCGUAGUCCGGAUCGUAGUCUGCAACUCGACUACGUGAAGUCGGAAUCGCUAGUAAUCGUGGAUCAGAAUGUCACGGUGAAUACGUUCCCGGGCCUU